rnacentral:rRNA from 1 species
UUCCAGACUCCUACGGGAGGCAGCAGUGAGGAAUAUUGGUCAAUGGGCGGGAGCCUGAACCAGCCAAGCCGCGUGAAGGAAGAAGGCGCCAGGCGUCGUAAACUUCUUUUGUCGGGGAACAAAGGGCGCCACGCGUGGCGUUGUGAGUGUACCCGAAGAAAAAGCAUCGGCUAACUCCGUGCCAGCAGCCGCGGUAAUACGGAGGAUGCGAGCGUUAUCCGGAUUUAUUGGGUUUAAAGGGUGCGUAGGCGGUCUGUUAAGUCAGCGGUAAAAUUGCGGGGCUCAACCCCGUCGAGCCGUUGAAACUGGCAGACUUGAGUUGGCGAGAAGUACGCGGAAUGCGCGGUGUAGCGGUGAAAUGCAUAGAUAUCGCGCAGAACUCCGAUUGCGAAGGCAGCGUACCGGCGCCAGACUGACGCUGAGGCACGAAAGCGUGGGGAUCGAACAGGAUUAGAUACCCGAGUAG